rnacentral:rRNA from 1 species
UACAGAGGUCUCGAGCGUUGUUCGGAUUUAUUGGGCGUAAAGAGCUCGUAGGCGGCUCGUUGCGUCGGCUGUGAAAACCCGCAGCUCAACUGUGGGCUUGCAGCCGAUACGGGCGGGCUGGAGUUCGGUAGGGGAGACUGGAAUUCCUGGUGUAGCGGUGAAAUGCGCAGAUAUCAGGAGGAACACCGGUGGCGAAGGCGGGUCUCUGGGCCGAUACUGACGCUGAGGAGCGAAAGCGUGGGGAGCGAACAGG